ACGAGCUGCAGCUCGCUCUAUAAAAAGAGUUCCAUCACCAAAAAAUUCAUGAUGCCGAGCGCGAUCCAUCAAAUUAAUUUCUUAGGAGUAACAAAAAUAGGUUAGAAAAACAGGAGAUGGAAAAUGUAGGCUCCUUCACGGGGAGCGCCGACUGGAGGCAGCAGUCACGGGACCGAAACUGCACGGCAUCAUGGGAAAUGAAAAGCAGGACUGAAAGAGGAAAAAAAAAGAAGAGGGAGGAAAAUGUGGAGAUGCAGAAGGAACCCUGAGGCUGGCUGUUUAAAACGCCGUCCCCGGGUUCGACUCCAGCUGCCUGUGUGUGGCUGUGCUGGCUUUGUCCCUUAGAGACGCCUCUUUCUUCUUCAGCUCUCUCUCUCCCUCCCUCCCUCUCCCUCUCUCUUGCUCGCUCUUUUUUUUUUCCUGGAGAGAGAGACUGGCGCCAGCAGUCUGGAACAAGCCUGACAGGAUUUGAAUUAUAGAAGCCCAGCACAAGGAGGAGGAGGGUCCAUCCUGGAACCCCCAGGUUUCAAGUCCUUGUCCUUCAACAACCACAGCAUCUACAGCCCUGUUCAGACUGAACAAUAAGAAGCAGUGAACAAACACAGCAGAAACUAAUGAAUGUUCAGCAGCACAGCAGAUAUAUUAAAUAAAGCAACGCGCUGAUGAUUUGUUCCUUUUCAAGGGACAGAAUAGUAUUUUGAGGACAAAAGAAAUUAAGCAGUUGCGCUAUUGCAUGGACUGUAGCAGUGCCUGCGAGACCUUUGGCGGAAGGUCAGGGUGGCUGGGGCUGCUAUGCUGCACACGCGUGUCCCUGGAGACUGGAGGACGGUGAUGAGCGGUGGAGAUGAAAUACAGCCUGCCUCAAAUGCGUGGACACGGUCCGGUUGCCAGGUGAUGCCUCAGCUCGUAAACAGGAGAGCAAGGUGUGGCGUGGUCCAAGGUGAGCGGUGGGAAUGCCGUGGUGGGGGAGUACCGGCCCUGCUCAGAAGAAGGAUGGAGGGUCUGGUGUCCUGGGCAAGGACCGUACGUGGUGGGCAGGUGUGGCCCCCCCAGGUGUUUUGAAGCCAUCAUGAUCGAGGUGAUGGGACAGGGUCUAGCAGGACCUCAACAGCUGGUCAGGGGCACAGUGCGGUUGAGGUUCACAUGCCGCAUGGCAGGAAAGGGAGAACAUACCGGUUUAGGCUCGAAUCUCCCCCUCCCCCUAUUUCACUUCUUCAAAAGCAACCUUCACACGCUUCUCCCAGAGCACUAGGUCUCAUCUUUUCCGAUUAUCAAAGUUUGAUUCAUCUAGAGAAAUAUCUUUCUUUCUUGAUUUUCAACGCAGAUCCAUAAGUUACGUUAAAAUUAAUUAUGCAGGUAC